GCAUGGAGCCGACCUUGAAAUACCACCCUUUAAUGUUUGAUGUUCUAACGUGGACCCGUAAUCCGGGUUGCGGACAGUGUCUGGUGGGUAGUUUGACUGGGGCGGUCUCCUCCUAAAGAGUAACGGAGGAGCACGAAGGUUGGCUAAUCCUGGUCGGACAUCAGGAGGUUAGUGCAAUGGCAUAAGCCAGCUUGACUGCGAGCGUGACGGCGCGAGCAGGUGCGAAAGCAGGUCAUAGUGAUCCGGUGGUUCUGAAUGGAAGGGCCAUCGCUCAACGGAUAAAAGGUACUCCGGGGAUAACAGGCUGAUACCGCCCAAGAGUUCAUAUCGACGGCGGUGUUUGGCACCUCGAUGUCGGCUCAUCACAUCCUGGGGCUGAAGUAGGUCCCAAGGGUAUGGCUGUUCGCCAUUUAAAGUGGUACGCGAGCUGGGUUUAGAACGUCGUGAGACAGUUCGGUCCCUAUCUGCCGUGGGCGCUGGAGAACUGAGGGGGGCUGCUCCUAGUACGAGAGGACCGGAGUGGACGCAUCACUGGUGUUCGGGUUGUCAUGCCAAUGGCACU
rnacentral:rRNA from 1 species